rnacentral:ncRNA from 1 species
GGAAAUCCGAUGAGGGAAAGAGUAAGUCGAAAUCACUGUGAACAGAGAUCAGGCGUCAUUGGCUGUAAGCGCCUGGCACAGCUUCGAACUGAAAGACAUUCCUUAGGAUCACUGUCGAACAACGCAGUAGACAGUGACGUAGCAGGCGUUAACUGACCAAGGUGGGAUACAGCUGUAUCCAACUAGGGUGGCAACGCGGGAAAAACUCCCGUCCCUUGU